UACGGAGGGGGCAAGCGUUGUCCGGAAUUAUUGGGCGUAAAGCGCGCGCAGGCGGUCUCUUAAGUCUGAUGUGAAAGCCCACGGCUCAGCCGUGGAGCGUCAUUGGAAACUGGGAGACUUGAGUGUGGGAGAGGAAAGUGGAAUUCCACGUGUAGCGGUGAAAUGCGUAGAGAUGUGGAGGAACACCAGUGGCGAAGGCGACUUUCUGGUCUAUAACUGACGCUGAGGCGCGAAAGCGUGGGGAGCAAACAGG
rnacentral:misc_RNA from 1 species